CUUUUCUUGAAUUUUAAUAUGAGAUAUGACCUGCCCACUGAUAAAUUUGAAGGGCCGCGGUAUUUUGACCGUGCAAAGGUAGCAUAAUCAUUAGUCUUUUAAUUGUGGACUGGAAUGAAUGGUUGGACGAGGAAUAUACUGUUUCUUAUUAUUUUAUUGAAUUUAAUUUUUAAGUUAAAAAGCUUAAAUUUAUUUAUAGGACGAGAAGACCCUAUAGAGUUUAUAUACAUUAUUCUAUUUAUUUUGUUUGUUUAUUUUAUUUAGUAUUUAAUAUAUUUUAUUGGGGUGAUUGGAAGAAUUAAUUAACUCUUUUUGUUUAGAUAUACAUUAAUUUAUGAAUACUUGAUCCAAUUUUGUUGAUUAUAAGAUUAAA
rnacentral:rRNA from 1 species